rnacentral:lncRNA from 1 species
CCAUGAAAUAAUAUAUUUUAUUUAGUGGGUCAACUUGAUUUUUACAAAGAGACAAUUAUGCACCAAAGAUAAAAGUCUGCUGAUUCUAUUAUUCAGCAAUUUAAUUAUCUAAGCCAAAUUAACUACACUCACAAGAAAUGGAAAAGACAAAGAUAAGACAGGCGGCCAUGCAAACUUAAGAACCAUACGUAAGCUGAUCUUUUCACACAUAUACAGGGUGUUUACUUUGAAAUAUUUUAAAUUAUUUUGACUUAUUUUAUUUCAAACACAAAUAUUAGAGUAAAGGUGUUUAACUUAUUCGUAAGAUCAAAAUAAGUAAUCUCAGACACCUUCUAAACCUCCUUAUUAUGUUAGGCUGGCUGUGUUUAAGUAGAGUAUGUACAUUCGGAACUUGUCGGAUGGAUCUUCUUACUUUUCCCAAGCGACGACGACUCAUUACUUGUCUUCACUUCAUUAGUUUUCCCUGUCAUCACUUUUUUCUCCUCUUCUAUUCUCUUCAGUUUCUCCUUUUGAUGUUUUUCCAUAAUGUAAACUCUUGCACAACUUGCUCCCAGGGAAGACAUGGGCUAAACUUUAUAUAUGCGUGUGUGUGUGUGUAUAUAUAUAUAUAUAUAUUUGUAUAUGUAAAUAUGCUCUCGCUAUUUGUGCGUAUGUUUACU